GUUACAUCGCAAUAAUGUAAUUUCCUCCUUUUUUUUCCCCAAUAGAGUGGGGACAUCUCCAAUAAACUUGAUAAACCACCCGCUAGGUAUCGCUCGAACGUUUUAUUCCAUCUAAUUGAUGGUUAGCUUUAUUGUAUUGCGUGUGUUAUGUUUUUGUAAUACGUUUGAAUGAAUCAACUGCACAUUUCUGUUUACUUUAUAAAUCUGACAAUAUUUCAUAAGUG